rnacentral:rRNA from 1 species
UAAUUGAAGAGUUUGAUCAUGGCUCAGAUUGAACGCUGGCGGCAGGCUUAACACAUGCAAGUCGAGCGGUAACAGAGAGAAGCUUGCUUCUCUGCUGACGAGCGGCGGACGGGUGAGUAAUGCUUGGGUAUCUGCCUUGUGGUGGGGGACAACAGUUGGAAACGACUGCUAAUACCGCAUAAUCUCUACGGAGCAAAGUGGGGGACCUUCGGGCCUCACGCCACAAGAUGAACCCAAGUGGGAUUAGCUAGUUGGUAAGGUAACGGCUUACCAAGGCGACGAUCCCUAGCUGGUCUGAGAGGAUGACCAGCCACACUGGAACUGAGACACGGUCCAGACUCCUACGGGAGGCAGCAGUGGGGAAUAUUGCACAAUGGGCGCAAGCCUGAUGCAGCCAUGCCGCGUGUGUGAAGAAGGCCUUCGGGUUGUAAAGCACUUUCAGUCGUGAGGAAAGGUA